GAUAGAGGGAACCAUCGUGGAGGGAGAGGGCUCAUGGGCUGCUUGAAGGAAGAUGAAAAGGAGAAAUGGACAAAGAGGAAGAGGACGAGUGGGAAGAAGAAGUCAUCGACAAAAAAUAAUUGAAAGUGGAGGGAGCCACUACGCAGAAGAAGGGUUCAUAGAUGAGAUUGAAGGAGGAUGAGGAGAAGAAAUAACUCAAGAGGAAGGAAAGGGGGAAAUAGGGGUUACUAGUAAGGAAUGGAUGGAAAUAGAAGGCACGGUC
rnacentral:lncRNA from 1 species